GCCGGAAUAGCUCAGUUGGUAGAGCAGAGGACUGAAAAUCCUCGUGUCACAGUU
rnacentral:tRNA from 1 species